rnacentral:tRNA from 1 species
GGAGAGCUGCCAGAGCGGCCGAAUGGGCUUGCCUGCUAAGCAAGUGUCUGUAGCAAUAUGGACCGAGGGUUCAAAUCCCUCGCUCUCCGCCA